GGAGUCAGGAUAGGGCGAUCCUGGAAGCUGGGCUUCAGAAGCGUCCAGAUAGGGUCUCUCUCUCUGCCACCCAGGCCAGAGUGCAGUUGACGCAGGGCAGGGGAGCCCCGAAGUGGAGCAUAGUGUGUCCGGAACUGGUGGGUUCUUGGUCUCACUGACUUCAAGAAUGAAGCCGUGGACCCUCACGAGACAGGGUUUCACCAUGUUGGCCAGGCUUGUCUUGAACUCCUGACGUCGUGAUCUGCCUGCUUUGGCCUCCCAAAGUCCUGGGAUUACAGGCAUGAGCCACCGUACCCAGCCACUCUUGAUUAACUUAAUGGAAAUAUUUACAGAGAUUCUUUCUCUUCUGGGUUCUAGCGUCUUAUCUGUAACCUCUGCAGGUAGAAGUUGCUGGUCCCAUCUUGCUCACAAUCCUCCAAAGUUUGAAAGUUAUUUUCCAGGAGACUUGGCUUGCACUGAGAGCUGCCCUCCCACUCUCUCUCCAAAUUUCCUCUUCGGAGUAGCCUAACAAGGUGCUGUCACAGACCCUUGUCAGCCACGAUGACCCCACCCAGACCAUCCCUCUGCUGUUUCACUCUUUGAUACUCUCUGGAGCUCUCUGGGGAGGGGUGAGACCUGCCGUCUUCUUUGUACGGUUUGCCCAGGUCUUACAGUCAUGGCUGGCUGCCUCUCUCUGAGAACUGGGACUCCUGAACUUGGUGAAAUACCUCAGCCAUCGAUCAUGUUGAAUUAUUGGGAACACUCAUUUAAAAUCCGAGCCUGUUCCAGAUAGACUCUCUCUCUUUCUGCCCUGACUGUGAGAGAAGCCCUGCUGGAUGGUGGAGAUGCUCGUGGGCUGUGAGCAAGGGAUGCAAAGGCUGCCGGGAAUCCCAUCUUUCCAGCAUCAUCUGCUAAGUCACAUUAGUUCCUGGGUAUCUGGAUGGGUUCUAGCAGCAUUACUGUCAUUGAAGGAAAAAUGAUAGCCAUAUUAAAGGUUAAUGCAGCAAUCUCCACAUAGGCUGCCUUGAAGGGACGCAGGACAAGGGUAGGUUUUCCUUGUGAUGGACAGGAGGCAGGCGGCCCUCCCACAGCCCUGCCUGGCAAUGCAGGUGUGUCCCCAAAAGGCACUGGGGGCCAGCUGGAGUGCUAUGCCGAGGCGGGCUGACCUGGGCCGUGGGUUCGCUGAUUGCAGCGGUUUCCUGCCAGCUCCUUGGAGAGCUGGCAGAUGGCCCAGCCCCACAGCAGGAGCCGCGAAUGGCAGAGCGACAUACAACAAUUUGAUAUCCACUUGCCAGAGGAGCCGGGUGUCAUCAGUCGCCUGGAUCUGUGCCCAACUUCUUUUUGCAUAAACACUUAUGAAUUCAGCCAAGAGGAAAAGCACUCUGAUUAUGAAUUGAGCAGAAGGAAACAAAGUUCUGCAGAUAAACACCAAUGAGACAAAAAAACACAAAUAAGAAAAAUGACAGAAAAGAAGAACCUUCCCAGAAGCCUCCUGCCAGUGAACGGCCACCAUAGCAAGAGCAUGGAGGCCCUGGGUUUUGAACUGUGAGAUAAGGAAGAUGAUGAAAACCUCCCUAGCAGCCAGGCAAGCACAAGAUUCCUGUGAAAUCCAGGUCUAAGUGUUUUGACUACAGAAGUAAUAUUAUGUCAUAGGUGAGAGCUGUGAGUUGCUGAACCCAAAGUGAGUUCAAAUCCAAGUUCUGCCUCCUGCAACCUUUGUGACUUUGAGAAGUUCCAACACCACUUUGUGCCUCAGUUUUCUCAUCUGUCAAAUGGGCAUAAUCACAGCUCUUGCCUCAGAGUUGUUGUAAAUUAAUACAUGUAAAGCACUGAAAUCAGCCUGGUAUACACUAAGUGUUAUGAACGUUAUUUUCUUGGAAGGACAGAACUUAUUUUCAUGGUCUAAGCCAGAAAAUCUAAAAAAUGUGAGAGAAGGGGAAAGAAUCUAGAGUGUCACCAUGAGGGGGAAAAGUCAACUUGAAGCAGGACAGGGUCAUUGACAAUUUCCUGUGAUUCUACAGCUGCCUUGUAAACUAUGGUAGCUCCUAGCCACUUGUUGUUUAGAUUUUGUGCUUUAGAAAUGAAUUAAGGCCGGACAUGGUGGCUCAUGCCUGUAAUCCCAGCACUUUGGGAGGCCAAGGUGGGCAGAUCACCUGAGGUCAGGCGUUCAAGAUCAGCCUGGCCAGCAUGGUGAAAUCCUGUCUCUACAAAAAUACAAAAAUUAGCCGGGCAUGAUGGCGGGUUCCUGUAAUCCUAGGUUCUCAGGAGGCUGAGGCAGGAGAAUUGCUUGAACCUGGGAGAUGGAGGUUGCAGUGAGACAAAGUUGUGCCACUGCACUCCAGCCUGGGGAAUAGAGUGAGAUUCUGUCUCAAAAAAAAAAAAAAUUAGGUAAAAUAAGAGAAAAUUGAAAAUUCAGCUCUUCAUUCUCACCAGCCACAUUUCAAGGGCUCAACAGCCCAUGUGGGUGGCUAGCAGCUCCCAUAUUGGACAGUGCAGAGUAGAGCAAGUCUGCCAUUGCAGAAUGUUUGAUUGGACCAUGACCGAAUAGUCUAAUGCAGUGGUCCCCAAUUUUUUUUAGCACCAAGGACCAGUUUCCAUGGAUUUUUGGGGGGAAGUUUCCGGAU
ensembl:lncRNA LINC02018 long intergenic non-protein coding RNA 2018